rnacentral:rRNA from 1 species
UGAGGAAUCUUCCACAAUGGGCGAAAGCCUGAUGGAGCAACGCCGCGUGCAGGAUGAAGGCCUUCGGGUCGUAAACUGCUUUUAUGGGUGAAUAAUAUGAAUGUAACCCUUGAAUAAGCACCGGCUAACUACGUGCCAGCAGCCGCGGUCAUACGUAGGUUGCAAGCAUUAUCCGGAUUGACUGGGCGUAAAGAGUUGCGUAGGUGGUUUGUUUAGUGAAUAGUGAAAUCUGGUGGCUCAACCAUACAGACUAUUAUUCAAACUGACAAACUCGAGAGUAGCAGAGGGAAAUGGAAUGUAGAGUGUAGGAGUGAAAUCAGUAGAUAUUAGAAGGAAAACCAAUGGAGGAGGCAGGUUACUGGGGUAGGUCUGACACUGAGGCACGAAAGCGUGGGGAGCGAACC